GCAAACAAGUUAUAGCGUUAACUCGUUGUGUGCAACUAAACUCAAAUCUGUUAGUCAGGUGACACGAAGAGGAGCCUUGUCCUGCACAGCACAGGUGAUCCUCAGCGUACAAACGAAAAACACAAGCCAAAGAAAACGACGCAAAUUUGUCACCCAAACUAAGCGAAAACAACAAACACGUCAGUAUAUGUGCUGCCGAAGCAAGCACGAACAUACAGUCUGGACGAGGGCUUGAUAUACCAGUGACUCCCAACUCUGUCUCUCAUAGGUGAUCCUUCGCAAGCUCAUCUCUUCAAGCGUGAUUGGACCGCUCGGUGUGACGAAGAGGAGCUCUUGGUCAUGUCACGCACCCUCCCCCACAGACAGCGCUCCACUUCCCUCCGGGACAAAGGGCGGCCGCAUUCUUCACAGAAAGCAUAAAGGGCUGUAAGACCAGGAAGCUCUCCUUUCAGAACAACAGAGAGAACACUGUGAACCUCAAAGCUCAAACAGUUCAGUUCAGAACAGCCACUGGAAAUAUUCAGUCUGAGGACAAGAUCAAUAUGUGCCUCUACUCCAAAAUCAUGCUUAAUUUAACAUUCUCAUGUAGGCUUAUAAUGUAGUUACAAAAUACUUUUUGAAGCUUAAAAAAAACAUUUUAAAAUGUCUUUAGCU